rnacentral:lncRNA from 1 species
UGGCGACCCUUGGCGUUCUCGCUGCAGUGUUGCCAUAAAAAAUUUGUGUGAGGAAGGGUGAAGCCAGCAGCCACGAACGCCAAUCCUUCACAACCGAGAAGGAACCUCUACGUCUUGGUCAGCGACCAUCGUUGCCCCUUCUCCACCGCCGUCGCUGCUGCCCAGCCAACAGCCGCCACCAUCGCUACUGCCCCCUUGCUGCAGUUAUCUUUGUCUUAGGA